rnacentral:rRNA from 1 species
GACGAACGCUGGCGGCAUGCCUAAUACAUGCAAGUCGAGCGAACAGAUGAAGUGCUUGCACUUCUGACGUUAGCGGCGAACGGGUGAGUAACACGUAAGGAAUCUACUUAUAAGCGGGGGAUAACAUUCGGAAACGGGUGCUAAUACCGCAUAAUAUCUUCUUCCGCAUGGAAGAAGAUUGAAAGACGGCUCUGCUGUCACUUAUAGAUGACCUUGCGGUGCAUUAGUUAGUUGGUGAGGUAACGGCCUACCAAGACGAUGAUGCAUAGCCGACCUGAGAGGGUGAUCGGCCACAUUGGGACUGAGACACGGCCCAAAACUCCUACGGGAGGCAGCAGUAGGGAAUCUUCCGCAAUGGGCGAAAGCCUGACGGAGCAAUGCCGCGUAAGUGAAGAAGGCCUU